rnacentral:tRNA from 1 species
GCCGAGGUAGCUCAAUUGGCAGAGCAGCGGCUUUGUAAGCCGCGGGUUGGAGGUUCGAGUCCUCUCCUCGGCU